AUAGUUGUAUGAAUUUCUUACUACUUACAGAAGGUGAAAUAUGAUACACUGUAAGAAUAUACAGUAAGGUUUUAGCUUUCUUUUUUAAAAUGAAGAUACACAUGAAGCCAAAUCUUAAAUAUUUGCAUUGUCUUGUUUUGUAACAUAUUGGGUGUUCUGGAUAGACAGUGGUAGUGUUUAAGUACUUUGUGGUUGUUUUUAUUGACUCAAAGUCCCAAAAUGUUGCAUGAAGAGUAAAAAGCUGUUGUUGGUCUGAAAAAUCCUAUCUUUUUUGUUUGUUUGUUUGUUUUAACAGAAAUCAGGGGGCUUUGUGUUUUGGUGGCUUAAUACUGAAGCAGAAAAUCUUGUUAAAUUGCUGAGAGGAAUUGGCUGCUUAGGCAAGAUGAAGGAAGUUCUGGCAGCUUACCAUGCCCCUGGCUCUGCAGAGUUAAGCGAGACGUGCGCCCAUGUUCUAGCAUGCAUCACAUCGCCUCUCGGGUCUGAAGUGCCAGAAGGAUCCCAGCGCUGCAGACUGAGACGGCUCUGAGCACCUCAGUACCCCGUUUCUGACAGAACCCAGGGAUGGCAAACUUACAUACCAGUAUUACCUGUCUGGCGCAGGUUUAAUUUUAUAAAUUAAAACCAUAAACUCUAUGAGUUUCUAGACCAUAUUUGUGCUGUUGAGGAUGAUCUACUCAGAUGAACAGUUUUGCAUCCAUCGGAGAGAAAGGUUCUUCUGCUGGACCAGAAGGCAACAUUAUUGUAACUAAUACCAUUUGUAGCAUCUCCUAGUGCAAAUAAUUGAAGAACAGGUUGCAAGAAAAUCCUCUAGGGAAUAAGACAUGCUUUGUUUUGGUCUUCAGAUUUUAAAAAAAUGUUGUUUUUUUAAAGGUAACCACUUUUACAUAACACUAUGUGUGCAGUCUAUGUGCAGCUCUUCACUGUGACUAUCUAUAUUCCAGAGAUUUUUAAUUACUUGUCAGGCACCUGAACCUUUUUUAGAUUUGUGAUGGAUCCUUAAAUUAUGUAUCCUUAAGUAUCAUGGAAAACUAGAAAGGAAAAGUUUCAGGGCUUUUAUUUGACUAAAUGUCUCCACUUAGUCCCUGUUAGUGUCUUGAAUGGUGGAGGAAAGGGUGGGAAGUAGGAAAACAAUACAAGAAAAAAACAACAAUACAUUGUGGGCUUGGUGUUCGGUUUGGCAUAUCAGAAUAUGUUUGAUCAAAUAACUAAGGAGAGAGAAACAGCUAACUUACCUGAGCCCUCACAUGAAAGGUCAGUAUUUUGGGGGGCAGUAUUUGCUAAUUUUGUCUCCAAAAUAGCUAUAGAAAAGAGGGAAUAUAUAUUAAGCCCCAACAUGUGUGAAAAGGACAUACUUGCCAUUCCUCUAUUUAUUUUUGCUCUUUCAAAAAUCAAAGUGCCAGUUAUUUGGAAUGCUGUAGUCUGUGGUCUCUUUAAAUUUGUUUGGUGAGAUCCUUUCAGCAAGAUCAUUCCCAUUACGGUGUAACUGCAUGGUGACCACAGCUUUGGGCCUGUAUAAUAAAGAUCUGAAUUCAAAUUUUUGUUUCUGAUCAUUUUCUCUACUUUUAUGUCAUAUCUGCAAAGUGUUGGAUUGGAAUCAUACUUACUGCUGAUUGCUGCUUAGAAGUUUUGGCAAAAAGAAAUUCAGAGAUGAAAGUGUUUAUAUGGUAGGACCCUGAUUCUCCUUUGUAUUGUUAUUUACA
rnacentral:lncRNA from 1 species